rnacentral:rRNA from 1 species
ACUCCUACGGGAGGCAGCAGUGGGAAUAUUGGACAAUGGGAACCGUAGCAUCCAGCCAUGCCGCGUGUGUGAAGAAGGCCUUCGGGUUGUAAAGCACUUUCAGUGGGAGGAAAGGAUUGAUGGUUAAUACCUAUCAGCUGUGACGUUACCCACAGAAGAAGCACCGGCUAACUCCGUGCCAGCAGCCGCGGUAAUACGGAGGGUGCAAGCGUUAAUCGGAAUUACUGGGCGUAAAGCGUGCGCAGGCGGUCUGUUAAGCGAGAUGUGAAAGCCC